CCAUUAUUGUUGGUUUACAGUGUUCUGUCAGUUUCUACUGUACAGCAAAGUGACUCAGUCAUAUAUAUAUGUUUUUUCUCACAUUAUCCUCCAUCAUGCUCCAUCAUAAGUGACUAGAUAUAGUUCCCUGUGCUAUACAGCAGGAUCUCAUUGCUUAUCCACUCCAAAGGCAAUAGUUUGUAUCUAUUAACCCCAGACUCCCAGUCCAUCCCACUCCCCCAUCUCACUUGGCAACCACAAGUCUGUUCUCCCAGUCCAUGAGUUUCUUUUCUAUGGAAGGGUUCAUUUGUGCCGUAUAUUAGAUUCCAUGAGACCUGAUUUCCAUCUACACAGAGAGAGCUACUAGAUUGUUACACAGCUUCUGACCAAAGAUCUUUCCACCUGUAAGAUCCAGAGCUGAUUUGUACAAGCACAGAAUUUUCACAAGGGUUAAAAGCUCUGUGUGCUAGUAUUUCACGAGGCCUCUGAGGGGCUGGGUCUGGAAGGAAGAUACAGCUCACUCAAGUUUUUGGAACCAUAGUGUUGUGACAUUCAUGUGUUGUUAUGCUGACAAUCAUACUUGGAGACAUCAAAACAUUUGCAUGUUGAGGGGUUGAGACACAGGUUCACAAGCCCAGACAUCACACCCCGAUAGGUUGUGACGUUUGCAUGUUGAGAGAUUGAAACAUAGACACGUUAAGUUUGUUGACAUGUUCACAGGUUGACAUCCACAUGUUGAAAUAUUGAGACGUUCACACGUUGAGGUGUGAAGCUAUUCACUGCUGACACAUUCACAGGGUGACGUAUUGAAACACUCCCAGAUCCAGCUGUUGAGAUCUUCACAUGUUGAAAUGCUGGAACAUCCACAGGUUGAGAUGCACAGACCUUCUCAUUCAUUUGUCUGACUUCAAACAUCAGACGGCUUGAGGCAGGCCCAGGAUAUAGACACUGACUCCUCAGCCAUACCUGACAAACUUCCUUCACCUCUCUUCCUGCAGCAGUGCUAACACGACCUCGGAGGUCUCCGUGGACAGUGUCCACACAUGCCUGGGGCUUCCUGCAGCUCCCUGCCUAAGGAUGCCACCUGGCUCUGGGUGGGUGCGUGACCUCUAUGUGGGCAGGCAAGAAAUGCUGCGGUGCAUACAGCCCAGGAAUGACCCUCAACCAAUGCAGUUGAGGUUUGGGGGCAUAAACACCCUAGUUUCCUCACCUGUCAGUGGCCCAACACUGUCUCCCCGAGGGUCUUCGCCAGAAUUGAGCCCAGUUGUCCACAAUGCUAACAUCCCCUACUGGUGUUUCUUGAGACCACCUCCCAAACGAUCUAUCUGUAUCCAACUCUUUGUUUCUGAUUUUGGUGGGAACCCUAACUAAGCAUCUCCAAAGUACCAGCCCUGUUUCCAAGCAGAUAGUCAGAAAGCAGAAUCAAGAUCUCCAUCCCACCCAAGGGGACUCCUCCUCUUCCACGGGCUACAGGGUUCCCAUCUCCUCACUAUGCACCUGCUGAAGCA
rnacentral:lncRNA from 1 species